rnacentral:lncRNA from 13 species
AUGCUACUUUUGACCAGGGCCCAACCUCCUGUGGUCCAUGCUACUUUUGACCAGGGCCCGUCCUCCCCAAUUAAAAGGUGCCACCAACCUCCUGUGGUCCAUGCUACUUUUGACCAGGGCCCGUCCUCCCCAAUUAAAGGUGCCACCAACCUCCUGUGGUAGGGAGGUGUUCUUUGUAAAAAAUAAAUACAAAUAAAUAAGAACCAAUAGACUCUUUUCCCUUUCUCCAUUCAUUGUUCUGGUCAGGUGACAGGAAACUAACCCCACCUGCUCUUCUCUUCUCUUCUAGGUAUCUGACCUCAGCUUC